GGCUCUACUAAUAAAGAGACAACAAUGUAUCGACCUUCUGCUUUACUAAUUAGCAUUUCCUCCUGAUGAGCGUCGCAGGUUUCGUCUCAUCAGGUCCCGUCCAAUGAUAGGAGAAGGAUCAGCAGCUGCGGCAUGGAUUUCCACUUGUGUCCGUUAUGUAGGAGGUAUGACACAGAGGACUUGGCGGAUCGGGGCCACCAAAGACGUUCCAGUAAAAAUAACGCCGGCAUGUCGGUGGAAACCACAAAGUGAAAUGAGCGGCGGCGAGGAGGUUUCCUGAGGACGCGGCUCAUUAUCUCUUUCUGCCCGGAUGAACCUCUCGUGGCUUUGUGUGAUCAUUUCCUUGUCUGUCUCAUUUCACAACGCGUUUCACCUGUUAACCCUUCGCCUGAAUCCCAAUUCUCAUUCGAUUCAAUGCGUAAUGAAACAUUAUUCAGGGCGAAUCCCAGAUUUGACGCGUCUUUAGAGAACACGGGAUAAAGAUUUCUAUGGACUUUACUGACACAAAAUCACU